CUGUCUGGCCCCGGCUCGUCCCGCGCCGCUGCUGCAGCCUCCCGGCCCACCAGAAGGUGGCACUGCCAGCACUGUCCCCCACGAUGCAGAUGGGCACCAUCGCACGCUGGGAGAAGAAGGAGGGCGACAAGAUCAAUGAAGGGGAUCUCAUAGCAGAGGUGGAGACAGACAAAGCUACAGUUGGCUUUGAGAGCCUGGAGGAAUGUUACCUGGCCAAGAUCCUGGUGCCAGAAGGGACAAGGGAUGUUCCUAUUGGGGCCAUAAUAUGUAUCACUGUA